rnacentral:rRNA from 1 species
AACGAACGCUGGCGGCAUGCCUAACACAUGCGAGUCGAACGAGACCUUCGGGUCUAGUGGCGCACGGGUGCGUAACGCGUGGGAACCUGCCCUUAGGUUCGGAAUAACUCCCCGAAAGGGGUGCUAAUACCGGAUAAUAUCUUCGGACCAAAGAUUUAUCGCCUUUGGAUGGGCCCGCGUUGGAUUAGCUAGUUGGUAGGGUAAAAGCCUACCAAGGUGACGAUCCAUAGCUGGUCUGAGAGGAUGAUCAGCCACACUGGGACUGAGACACGGCCCAGACUCCUACGGGAGGCAGCAGUGGGGAAUAUUGGACAAUGGGCGAAAGCCUGAUCCAGCAAUGCCGCGUGAGUGAUGAAGGCCUUAGGGUUGUAAAGCUCUUUUACCCGGGAUGAUAAUGACAGUACCGGGAGAAUAAGCUCCGGCUAACUCCGUG